GUCGUGAAGGACCCCUCGAGGCUCUUUCGAUAGCAAAUCAUUUUAAGGCCGCCUAGGUGUUCGUUUUCUGUUUGUUGAAUGUUGAGUAAAAGCUUGGUAAAAGCUUGGGUGAUAACCAAAAGCACUCUAUAAAGCUUGUUGCUUGGCUUUACCCAUCGUGGUCGUGAAGGACCCCUCGAGGCUCUUUUGAUAGGAAAUCAUUUUAAGGCCGCCCAGGUGUUCGUUUUCUGUUUGUUUAAUGUUGAGUAAAAGCUUGGUAAAAGCUUGGGUGAUAACCAAAAGCACUCUAUAAAGCUUGUUGCUUGGCUUUCCCGGUCUUCUCAGUCGUGAAUGACUCCUCGAGGCUCUUUCGAUAGCAAAUCAUUUUAAGGCCGCCCAGGUGUUCGUUUUCUGUUUGUUGAAUGUUGAGUAAAAGCUUGGGUGAUAACCAAAAGCACUCUAUAAAGCUUGUUGCUUGGCUUUACCCAUCGUGGUCGUGAAGGACCCCUC